UAUAAAAAGUCAAUGGGUUUACAAAAAUAACAUUGCAAUUAAAAUAUUUUAACUCAACACAGUAACUCUCUGCUCUCUUCACCACUUCAAAAACACAAACACCCCUUUACUGGUGCACACACCUAAUCUCAGCAUUUCAGAGGAAGAAUCAGGAGUAUUUUGAGUUCUAAACAAGUCCUGGCCACAUAGUAAGUUUGUGACCAGCCUGAGAGUAGGUCCUUUUUUCUGAAUAGUAACUGUGCAAUCAACAUCAAUAACAAAAUACCCACAAGUAAAAGGAAAUACAAAUGUUUGUCUAUUUUGCUUGUACAUAGUUUGUAAGUGUUUUGAAAGCAGUCUAUAGAGUCUAAGGAAAGAUGAAAAUGUCAGUAUGUGGUAUAACAGCUUCCUGUGAUACUGGAAUAUUCUAUUCUGCAGGUAAACUCUUUAAGGCAGAAGGUAAACAACUCAGAUUAGCUUCAGGAAGUCCCUGAAACUGAUAAGAUUCACUAGACCCCCUCUAUGAUCGAGUAAACAAUAAAAACUGAUUUCAGGGUUGCUGCAAAGAAGACUCUCAACCUAGUCAAGCUGCAAAGAAGACUUUGAGAGCAAGCCAACUGUCUGAAAGAAACAGAAACCAGCCAAGCUGCUUGUAAGAGGGUUAGAGCUACUGAGACAUCUGGAAAGGACCCUCUCCAGUUUGUUGAGCUGCCUGUAGGCUAUACAGUGUAGCCUGGGUUCCCAACUUUGUGCAUCAGUGCUACAAUGGGCUUUGUGAUGCUGCUAUCUUUGAGUUAUUUAUGCUCCUGUAAACAACUCUCAUCCAUAUUCCUCUGUAGAUGUGUGCUCUUAACACCCUGCUCCAGUGGGCAUACCUGCCACAUACUCCCACUCUGUCUCUGACAUUGUGGAUCUAACCCUUGUGCUCUGGUAAGCCAAAUAAAGUCUGCCUUCUCUAUAUUGCCUUGGUCAGGUUGGUGUGUUACACAACAACAGAAAAGUAACUUAUGCAACUAUUUUUGUUCCUGUUCUUUGAAAAGCAAUGUGAAAGUUAUUAUGAAAAUAUAGUCUAGAUAUGAGAAAGAAUUCACUGGUAGAGUUGUUUAUUAAAGAUUAAAAUAGAUUACUAAAAGACAUAGAGUCUUCUUUGUUAAUGACUUUUCCAAAGAAAAUGGACACAAAUCAAUUUUGUUUGGUCAAUAAGGGAUACUUGCAAUCAUAGAACAAGAAAUGCUAAAUUUGUGGGAUCUUCUUUCAAAAUCUCCCUGGAUAAUUUCCUCUACUAACAUAAGAGAUGUAGAAUUUUUUUCUAAAUAUUUUUAUCCAAAUAUGCAAACUAUGUGAAUGUAUUACUAUUCUACAGUAGUUUAAGUUGAUUUAUUCUUGUUAAUAUGCUUAUAUCUAAGUAGGUAACUUUUGUAGUACUUGACUAGAUGCCCAUGAAUUUGUGUGUACUUUGGAAAAUAAUGUGGUAUCCUUUUGGUGAAUAUAUUUGCAAGUUACUUGAAUAUAAUUAACUGUUCCUUUUGUUAUUCCCAUAAAGUAUUUUGUCAGAAGAUCUUGGUUAUUUCUCAGUUUUGUAGCCUUUAAUAAUAUACACUACGUCUUUUUUUCUAUAUGUUUCUUUAGUGAUUGAAUAAGAGGCUGUUUCAAACCCCCUGUUCUCACAAACUGUGGUGUGAAGACUGUCUUGACCGAUGUGCUUUGUUUUCUGCCCCUUUCUUGUCAGAGUGUGAUCAGGUAGUCAGACUGCUCUACAAAAUGGAAGUGAGCCAAUGACAAGAAGCCCUGUUUCCUUAUUCACAUUGACGGAUACUGAACUGAGUGGUUUCCCAUCAGCUGAGUAGAGGGUAAUAUUGAUUAAAAGAGUUACUCACUUU